rnacentral:rRNA from 1 species
CCUACGGGUGGCAGCAGUGAGGAAUAUUGGUCAAUGGCCGGAAGGCUGAACCAGCCAUGCCGCGUGAAGGUCAGUGCCCUAUGGGCGUUAAACUUCCUUUGUGCGGGAGCAAUAAUGGUCACGUGUUGCCAGACGAGAGUACCCUACGAAUAAGCAUCGGCUAACCCCGUGCCAGCAGCCGCGGUAAUACGUAGGAGGCAAGCGUUGUCCGGAUUUACUGGGUGUAAAGGGCGUGUAGCCGGGUUGACAAGUGAGAUGUGAAAUCCUGUGGCUUAAACGCAGAACUGCAUUUGAAAUUGUGGAUCUUGAGUACUGGAGAGGCAGACGGAAUUCCUAGUGUAGCGGUGAAAUGCGUAGAUAUUAGGCGGAACACCAGUGGCGAAGGCGGUCUGCUGGACAGCAACUGACGGUGAGGCGCGAAAGCGUGGGGAGCAAACAGGAUUAGAUACCCGAGUAGUC